rnacentral:rRNA from 1 species
AUACGUAGGGGGCGAGCGUUGUCCGGAAUGACUGGGCGUAAAGUGCGUGUAGGCGGCGCCGGAAGGCUGGAGUGAAAGGCCUGGUUUCGAGGGGGGUAUUGGUUUGGGUACUGCGGAGCAUGAGUGCGGAAGAGGUAAGUGGAAUUCCCAGUGUAGCGGUGAAAUGCGUAGAGAUUGGGAGGAACACCAGUGGCGAAGGCGACUUACUGGGCCGUAACUGACGCUGAGGCGCGAAAGCGUGGGGAGCGAACAGGAUUAGAUACCCUGGUAGUCCACGCGGUAAACGAUGAAUGCUAGGUGUUGCGGGUAUCGACCCCUGCAGUGCCGGAGUCAACACAAUAAGCAUUCCGCCUGGGGAGUACGGCCGCAAGGUUGAAACUCAAAUGAAUUGGCGGGG